AUUGAACGCUGGCGGCAGGCUUAACACAUGCAAGUCGAGCGAGCGGCGGACGGGUGAGUAAUGUCUGGGAAACUGCCUGAUGGAGGGGGAUAACUACUGGAAACGGUAGCUAAUACCGCAUACCAUCAGAUGUGCCCAGAUGGGAUUAGCUAGUAGGUGGGGUAAUGGCUCACCUAGGCGACGAUCCCUAGCUGGUCUGAGAGGAUGACCAGCCACACGGGAACUGAGACACGGUCCAGACUCCUACGGGAGUCAGAAGUGGGGAAUAUUGCACAAUGGGCGAAAGCCUGAUGAAGCCAGGCCGGGUGUAUGAAGAAGGCCUUCGGGUUGUAAAGUACUUUCAGCGAGGAGGCGUUACUCGCAGAAGAAGCACCGGCUAACUCCGUGCCAGCAGCCGCGGUAAUAC
rnacentral:rRNA from 1 species